GCGCCCGUAGCUCAACCGGAUAGAGCAUCGGAUUUCUAAUCCGAAGGUUCCAGGUUCGAGUCCUGGCGGGCGUACCA
rnacentral:tRNA from 3 species